rnacentral:rRNA from 1 species
UCCAGACUCCUACGGGAGGCAGCAGUGAGGAAUAUUGGUCAAUGGCCGAGAGGCUGAACCAGCCAAGUCGCGUGAAGGAUGACGGCCCUACGGGUUGUAAACUUCUUUUGUCAGGGAGCAAUUGAGUCCACGUGUGGGCUUAGCGAGAGUACCUGAAGAAAAAGCAUCGGCUAACUCCGUGCCAGCAGCCGCGGUAAUACGGAGGAUGCGAGCGUUAUCCGGAUUUAUUGGGUUUAAAGGGUGCGUAGGCGGGCGGUUAAGUCAGCGGUCAAAUGUCGGGGCUCAACCCCGGCCUGCCGUUGAAACUGGCGGCCUCGAGUGGGCGAGAAGUAUGCGGAAUGCGUGGUGUAGCGGUGAAAUGCAUAGAUAUCACGCAGAACUCCGAUUGCGAAGGCAGCAUACCGGCGCCCGACUGACGCUGAGGCACGAAAGCGUGGGUAUCGAACAGGAUUAGAUACCCGGGUAAA